GCCAUAUCGAACCAAUUCAUCUAGAAAAGCAAUAUUGCUACGAGUAUUUGGCAUUUGUUUGCAUUGCGCACUUACUUUUAUAUGCGCAAAAGGCAAUGUUGCUUUUUUAGAUGAAUUGCUUCGAUGUGGCCUUUUUAACCGCCAUGUAUUACUUAAUGUUAUCAGCAUAGAAUUAGUCGCCAGUUGAGGUGGACGCUGCUCCGUGCCCGGCCGGGGUAAACCGACACUAUGGCCGACAAGAAGGAUUUGGAGUCCGGUGACCCCGAGCUAGAAGGCGUCCGGAAGCCCAUGGAGCUGCCGGUGCUACCGAAGUCCCUGACCCUCGAGGAGAAGAAGUACCUCCUGGCUGUCGAGAGAGGCGACAUGGCCAACGUCAGGAGGAUUCUUCAAAAAGCCCAUCGUAAGAAACACAUCGAUGUGAACUGCGUGGACUCCCUGGGCCGCGGGGCAUUGACCUUGGCCAUCGAUGGCGAGAAUAUGGAGAUGGUAGAACUGCUGGUUAUCAUGGGGGUGGAAACUAAGGACGCUCUGCUUCAGGCCAUUAAUGCUGAGUUUGUGGAGGCCGUUGAACUCCUAUUGGAGCAUGAGGAGUUGAUUCACAAGGAAAACGAACUUUAUAGUUGGCAGAAGGUGGACCCCAACACAGCAAUGUUCACUCCUGACGUCACUCCGUUGAUGUUAGCUGCUCACAAGAACAACUACGAGAUCAUCAAGAUCCUCCUUGAUCGCGGCGCCACUUUGCCUGACCCUCAUGAUGUCAGAUGUGGAUGUGAUGAGUGCAUCAAGAUGUCGACAGAAGACUCCCUGAGGCACUCCCUAGCGCGCCUCAACGAGUACCGAGCCCUGGCAUCUCCCUCCCUCAUCGCCCUCUCUUCCACCGACCCUAUCCUCACCGCCUUCCAGCUCUCAUGGGAACUCAGGAACUUGGCUUUUGCUGAACAGGAAAGUAAAGCAGAAUACCUGGAACUACGUCGCCAGUCGCAGCAGUUCGCGGUAGACUUAUUAGACCAGUCUCGGAGCUCUCAAGAGUUGGCUAUCAUCCUCAACCACGACCCUGAUGAACCGGCGUAUGCUGAAGGGGAGCACAUGAAGUUGGCUCGGCUUGAACUUGCCAUUGACUUUAAGCAGAAGAAAUUCGUAGCGCACCCAAACAUCCAGCAACUUCUGGCAUCGAUCUGGUAUGAAGGCGUCCCUGGCUUCAGAAGGAAGACUGCGAUGGAGAAGAUAAUGAUCAUCUGCCGCGUGGCUCUGCUGUUCCCAUUCUACUGCAUGCUUUAUAUGAUCGCCCCUAACUGUGCUACUGGUAAACUGAUGCGGAAGCCGUUUAUGAAGUUCUUGAUUCAUGCGUCUAGCUACUUGUUCUUUCUGUUGAUCUUGAUUUUGGUGUCACAAAGAGCGGAGGUGCAGGCCAUCCAGCUAUUUGGCCCAGAGUGGAUGGUUAAGGAAUUGGAGAAGGAACUGCUCAAGCAACGGGGCAACGGACCUACUUACUUGGAGCUCGUGGUCGUCGUCUAUGUCCUUGGGUUCAUCUGGGAAGAGACUCAGGAGAUCUACAUUGAGGGUAUUCGCUCGUAUCUCCGGAAUAUGUGGAACUUCAUCGACUUUACCAGGAACUCUUUAUACGUGGCGGUGGCGCUCCUCCGGUUCGCUGCCUACCUCCAACAGGCCGCCCAGAUCCGGCGUGACCCUCAGACGAAGUUUAUACCCCGGGAGAACUGGGAUGCUUUUGAUCCUCAAUUGAUAGCUGAGGGACUGUUUGCAGCUGCUAAUAUUUUCAGCGCGUUGAAGCUGGUGCAUCUGUUCUCCAUAAAUCCUCACUUGGGGCCGCUGCAGAUCUCGCUGGGCCGUAUGGUCAUCGAUAUCGUCAAAUUCUUCUUCAUCUAUAGUUUGGUGCUCUUCGCGUUUGCUUGUGGUUUGAACCAACUGCUGUGGUACUUCGCUGAUCUUGAGAAGCGCAAGUGCUACGUGCUGCCUGGAGGUCUACCUGACUGGGACAACGCUGGGGACUCCUGCAUGAAGUGGAGGAGCUUCGGGAAUGUAUUCGAAGCGUCCCAAUCUCUCUUCUGGGCCUCGUUCGGCAUGGUGGGCUUGGAGAACUUCGAGCUGGCCGGCAUCAAGAGCUACACACGGUUCUGGGGGCUGCUGAUGUUCGGCUCGUACUCCGUCAUCAACGUCAUCGUGCUCUUGAACCUCCUAAUCGCCAUGAUGUCCAACUCCUAUGCUAUGAUUGAUGAACAUUCUGACGUGGAAUGGAAGUUCGCGCGCACCCGUCUCUGGAUGUCAUACUUCGAAGAGAGCGCAACCCUGCCUCCGCCCUUCAACAUCAUGCCUACCCCCAAACUGCUCCUCAAGUUCCUCGGCCUGAGGAAGAAGGAUAAACUGCGGAAGAUGAAGAUGAAGCAGGAACAGAAAGAGAAAGAACAUGAUGUGAGAUAUCUAGCAGUGAUGCGUGCUGUAGUAUGGAGAUACGUCUCAGCCAUGCACCGACGUAUGGAUGACGAACCGGUUACAGAAGAUGACAUCAACGAACUGAAGGGAGAUGUCUCUGCCUUGAGAUACGAGCUGCUUGAAGUCUUCGAGAAGAACGGAAUGGACGUGUCAUUCACUGAUCGCAAGGAGAAAGCUGUACUCGGCAAACGCAUGAAGGUCUGGGAGCGGCGUCUGAUGAAGGACUUCCACGUGGCCCCAGUAUCCGGAGUAGAUGAGGAGCGCCCUGAAAAUGAGGACGGGCUCGCCAAAUUCCGGAGGAUCGCCAAGAUGGCAGUUGCUAGCACCACCACCUCUAAGUGGGACCAGACCUUAGCUGCGACUGGUGUUGCGAGCCAGAUAGGUCGUUGUCGCAGCCGGGAGUCGUUCAAGAACCAGCAGAACCUGCAGCGAGCUAUGGAGGAAGCCAGGAAAUUGGUGCUCCGGUCACCUUUACCAGAAGGUUCCCGCGGCGCGUCUCCCAUCGAGAUGCCGUUGACUCCCGGCCACACGCUGCUGGAGCUCAUCAAGGACAUCUCCACCGAGGUGGGCGAGUUGGAGCCCGGCUCUCCAGCGCCCAAAUCGCCGUGGAAACCACCAGGCGCCGGCGACGCGGGCCCAGCGGCUACGGUCAGCGGGCUGCUGAGUGCGGUUGACGCGAGGAGCCGCGCUGCGUCGCCCUCACCGCGCACACCCAGCCCUUCGCAAGCUAAGCCAAUGUCGAAAGUAUCGUCACCAGCGACUACGCCUCGCGGGCCAAGCCCCGCGCGAAGCGCGCCGCCAAGUCCUGGACGACCCAUCAGCCCAGUUGGUGAAGAACCGCCACAAACUGAGCCGAGUCCUCUAAUAACAAAGAGGGAGCCGGGAGAUACUCCACCAAAGGUGAUCAAGAGGAAACCACCGGCGCCCCCUGGAGAGGCCCAGGGUCCGGAGUCAUCAGCUGAAGAGGGGAAGCCUCCUGAAGACAUAGCAGUGGCCAGACCGGUAGCCCCGGAGAUAAAGCCGGCGGAAGGCGCUAUACCCCCGCCGCCUCCGGCUGUCAAACCUAAGGCCCCACCAGCACCAACGAUGGAGGUGACACCGAGCACUCCCCCAGUGCACGCGGCGUCCCCCCCGUCUCCGAAGGCCGCACCAGACAAGCCCCCCUCUCCCGUGCCCCCCAAGCCGGCAUCCCCCCCUGCUAAGCCCCCGUCACCACCCAAGUCGCCGGCCAAGUCGGCCUCUCGGGCCACCUCUCCUACGCAAAGAGCAGUGUCGCCUGUCCCGGGUACGGCUGCUUCACCACGUACUCCGUGCCCGCCCACGCCACCGCAGCGUCUAACAUCCACAUCAAGCACGGAGCAACUCAUACCACCACCAUCGCCGGAGCCCCUCCGCCCUGCCAAGAAACUCGAUGACAUCAAGACCAUCAGACGACAGCCUAAAACUGGCUGGCUGUAGAAUACCUAGGUUCUAAUCUAGACUAGGUGACACUGACAACCAGGGAAGGCAAUGCCGGCUCGUGACCGUAAAUUCGAAAUCCCGCGGGAUUGGAAAUAUCAAAGGACGUCAGAUGUUAGCAUAAUACCAGCCUUUCCUAUUGAUAGCUAACGGGAAACUUGAUAAAUAUUGUAAUUACACACAAUUAUUAAAAAAAAACAAAAACAAUUGAAUCAACACCACUGCCAGUUAUCUAUACCCAAAUGAUUUCAUCGAAAGGGUAAUUCCCUUUUUUAAAACAUUUUUAAGUUUCGUUAGUUAAGAUCUCCUGACAAAUCCGAUUUGGAGCAGCGUGGUAGAAUAUGCUUCAUAUCUCCUCCGGUUGAUUGAAAGAAGGCAUGUGCCCAGCUGUGGGACGUAAUAGGCUGUUUGUUUACUUUUUAAAUAAUUUCCAGAUUUUGCUGUUGUUCACUCUUGAGAUAUUUUACUUUUAAUCUUAGUAAUUUUUAUUUUGGUAGCCUUGAAUAGGUUAGCGCGCAUGCGUUAUGUCAAAUGUGGACUCGACCUUAAGCGUUUUUUUUUUAAUUAUGUCGUAUUUAAAAACGUGUAAGUCGCAAUGGAGUGGUAGUUUCAGAGCGUCAAAUUCAUGAAUAGUAUGAAUGUCUGAUAGACCGCUUUAGACGCAAUGUAUCAAAACUGUUUGAUACCGAAUCAGUUUGCAAAUGUAUACGUACUCAGCGUCAUCACUAAUUUAAGAGACACGCUCUUAUCGGUGUAAAAAAUUACUAAGUACCUAACUAGGUACCCAAAUUAUUAUUAAAUUUAAGCACCUUGUUAUUUACCUGCUUAUUUAAAAAAAAAUAUUGAUAACGAAAUAAUAUUAUUUAUGUCAAUACCUACCCUCAAAUAGAACUUACCUAUUGUCAAUGUUAACUUUAAUUAAUAAUAAGUUGCUUAUGUACCUAUUUAGUUACCUAAAUACUGUAUUCAUGCACGAUAUCUAAAUAUUUUUGAAAUCAUGAACAAAUCUUAUAUUUUAGAUAAUUUCUAUUUUAGAUGGCAGUUUGGGCGUUUAGAAGUCAGAUUUGGAUAAUUUUGUACUAAAUUGUAAUACUCGAAAA
rnacentral:misc_RNA from 1 species